UCGGGAAUUUUGGGCAAUGGGCGAAAGCCUGACCCAGCAACGCCGCGUGAGGGAUGAAGUAUUUCGGUAUGUAAACCUCGAAAGAAUGGGAAGAAUAAAUGACGGUACCAUUUAUAAGCUCCGGCUAACUACGUGCCAGCAGCCGCGGUAAUACGUAGGGAGCAAGCGUUGUUCGGAUUUACUGGGCGUAAAGGGCGCGUAGGCGGCGCGGUAAGUCACUUGUGAAAUCUCUGAGCUUAACUCAGAACGGCCAAGUGAUACUGCUGUGCUAGAGUGCGGAAGAGGCAACCGGAAUUCUUGGUGUAGCGGUGAAAUGCGUAGAUAUCAAGAGGAACACCUGGGGCGAAGGCGGGUUGCUGAGCCGACACUGACGCUGAUGCGCGAAAGCCAGGGGAGCAAACG
rnacentral:rRNA from 1 species